rnacentral:rRNA from 1 species
GUAAGGAAUAUUGGUCAAUGGACGAAAGUCUGAACCAGCCAUGCCGCGUGGAGGAUGAAGGUCCUCUGGAUUGUAAACUUCUUUUAUCUGGGACGAAAAAAGGUCUUUCUAGAUCGUCUGACGGUACCAGAUGAAUAAGCACCGGCUAACUCCGUGCCAGCAGCCGCGGUAAUACGGAGGGUGCAAGCGUUAUCCGGAUUCACUGGGUUUAAAGGGUGAGUAGGUGGGUUGGUAAGUCAGUGGUGAAAUCUUCGAGCUUAACUCGGAAACUGCCAGUGAUACUAUCAGUCUUGAAUAUUGUGGAGGUUAGCGGAAUAUGUCAUGUAGCGGUGAAAUGCUUAGAUAUGACAUAGAACACCAAUUGCGAAGGCAGCUGGCUACACAUAUAUUGACACUGAGGCACGAAAGCGUGGGGAUCAAACAGGAUUAGAAACCCCAGUAGUCC